AUGCUAGCUCCGCCGCUGCCUUCAAACACAGCGGCGUGCCAAUACCCGGAUUUGCAGAAACGAUGCACGGACCUUAUUAUCCGACAACUGAGAGACAGGUGCUUUUGUAACACACCAUGACGAGUAGAGCCUUCACCGAACAAAUUAAAUAAUAGUUUCCUGACCGAUACAAUAUUUAGCAGAAUACAAAAGUAUAUGCAGCCAACGUUAUGUUUACUGACCGUAUUCUCAUUUCGCAACCCAUGCAGGUGCUCUAUUUUUCAAAAAGACAACUGUUACCCCAAAAGUGAUAUUUUUCCCACAGUAUUUUCUACGGGUCGACAGUUUGUGACAUUAUGUACAGUACGGAGUAUCUAUCACAUCCUACGUUUAUCGCUAACCCCUUGUUUACUUCACCCCUAACUCCCAACUUUAGCACUAUGCAAAAAGAAGAUUCCUCAUCACAUCAAACUUGCGGUACAUGCUGGAGUACUAAAUGUAGAUGAAAUUAAAAACUAAUUGCACAGUUUUGUUGUACUUUGCGAGACGAAUCUUUUGAGCCUAAUUAGUCAAUAUUUGGAUAAUAAUUCACAAAUACAAAUGAAACGCUGCAGUGUGCUACAGUACUGUAACAGUAAUUUGGCACCUCCCAAUUUUGCCAACUAAACGAGGCCUAAAUUUG
rnacentral:lncRNA from 1 species